rnacentral:tRNA from 1 species
GUCUAGUUUAGUUGGUAGAGUGCAAGGUCUUUAACCUUGAGGUUGUGGGUUCAAGCCCCAUGGUGGACG